AAAUUGAAGAGUUUGAUCAUGGCUCAGAUUGAACGCUGGCGGCAGGCCUAACACAUGCAAGUCGAGCGGUAGCACAGAGAGCUUGCUCUCGGGUGACGAGCGGCGGACGGGU
rnacentral:rRNA from 1 species